CCUACGGGAGGCAGCAGUAGGGAAUCUUUCACAAUGGGCGAAAGCCUGAACCAGCCAAGUCGCGUGAGGGAUGAAGGUUCUAUGGAUCGUAAACCUCUUUUAUAAGGGAAUAAAGUGUGGGACGUGUCCUAUUUUGUAUGUACCUUAUGAAUAAGGAUCGGCUAACUCCGUGCCAGCAGCCGCGGUAAUACGGAGGAUCCGAGCGUUAUCCGGAUUUAUUGGGUUUAAAGGGUGCGUAGGCGGCCUUUUAAGUCAGCGGUGAAAGUCUGUGGCUCAACCAUAGAAUUGCCGUUGAAACUGGGGGGCUUGAGUAUGUUUGAGGCAGGCGGAAUGCGUGGUGUAGCGGUGAAAUGCUUAGAUAUCACGCAGAACCCCGAUUGCGAAGGCAGCCUGCCAAGCCAUGACUGACGCUGAUGCACGAAAGCGUGGGGAUCAAACAGGAUUAGAUACCCUAGUAGUC
rnacentral:rRNA from 1 species